UAAGCAUAUCAAUAAGCGCAGGAAAAGAAACCAACAGGGAUUGCCUCAGUAACGGCGAGUGAAGCGGCAACAGCUCAAAUUUGAAAUCUGGCCUCUUGGGGUCCGAGUUGUAAUUUGUAGAGGAUGUUUCGGGUACCGCCUCGGUUUAAAUUUCUUGGAACAGAAUGUCAAAGAGGGUGAGAAUCCCGUCUUGGACCGGCGGUAGGGCCUAUGUGAAACUCCUUCGACGAGUCGAGUUGUUUGGGAAUGCAGCUCAAAAUGGGUGGUAAAUUUCAUCUAAAGCUAAAUAUUGGCCAGAGACCGAUAGCGCACAAGUAGAGUGAUCGAAAGAUGAAAAGCACUUUGAAAAGAGAGUUAAACAGUAUGUGAAAUUGUUGAAAGGGAAGCGCUUGCAACCAGACUUGAGCGCGGCGGUUCCCCCUUGCUUCUGCUUGGGUUACUCCGCCGUGUCCAGGCCAACAUCGGUUCUGGGGGUCGGUCAAAGGCUCUGGGAAUGUAUCUACCCACGGGUAGACUUAUAGACCAGGGUGUCAUGCGACCUCCCGGGACCGAGGAACGCGCUUCGGCUCGGAUGUUGGCGUAAUGGUUGUCAGCGACCCGUCUUGAAACACGGACCAAGGAGUCUAACAUCUAUGCGAGUGUUUGGGUGUCAAACCCGGAACGCGGAAUGAAAGUGAACGGAGGUAGGAAGCUUCGGCUGCACUAUCGACCGAUCCUGAAGUUUACGGAUGGAUUUGAGUAAGAGCAUAGCUGUUGGGACCCGAAAGAUGGUGAACUAUGCCUGAAUAGGGUGAAGCCAGAGGAAACUCUGGUGGAGGCUCGCAGCGGUUCUGACGUGCAAAUCGAUCGUCAAAUUUGGGUAUAGGGGCGAAAGACUAAUCGAACCAUCUGGUAGCUGGUUCCUGCG
rnacentral:rRNA from 1 species